rnacentral:lncRNA from 1 species
AUUGUAAACGCCGGCACUUUGGUUUCUUCUGGUUUUGGCAAUUCCGGCAACUUUGGAAAAUCGAACUUGGGAAAUUCCGGCAUCUUCGGUAACUCUGGAAACGUCGGCAAUUCAGGCUUCUGAAUCUCCGGUAACUUAGGCAUCUCUGGUUUUGGAAUCUCAGGUAACUUAGGCAACUCUAGCUUCGGAAAUUCGGGUAACUUUGGCAUCUCUGGUUUAGGUAGCUCCGGAAAUGUCGGUAUCUCUGGUUUAGGUUCCUCCAAUAACCGGCGAGCUCCAACGGAUACCGGAACAGAAAGCAAUGCAAUAAGACAUAUGAUCAGAAAUGGUGAAAGUAGAGAAGCAGAGAAACUCUUCUUCAAUGUCAUUGUUUCCUUGCAAGCUUUUUAUCUUUCUUUCUUUCUUUGCUUUGUGGUGUUGUUCUUUGUUUUUGUGAUGAGCUUUGAUCUUUGAUUGAAAUGUCUAUUUAAAUGUGUCUUGUGGAAGAAGAGAGAUGGAGUUUGGUGAGAAUAACAUAUUUAGAGUUUAGAAUAUAAAAAGUUCGUUUAACUUCUCUAUCUGUAUAUCUAUAUUGUCACUUUCAAUCUAGCUGAAGUUUAGGUUUAAGUGUUGACGUGUUCAUGUGUUUGGUUUAUACGUAUUAUAGAACAUAUAUAAUCCUCGUAUGAGAAAGCACGUUAUUAUACGUUUAGCUUUUGUAAAAACUUUGGUUAAUCUUAAACUAAAAAGUAAAUUUUAGAGAUGGAAAGACAGAGUAUUACAGAGCAUAACAGAGCAUUAGGGCAGAGUAACAAACUAACAAUUAACAAAGCAAUCAAACAGAGCAUUAGAGAAAAAUAAAAAAGGAACCGCAUUUGAUGUUUGAGGCGGUGAGUAAUCUUUGAAACCAAGUAUACAUGUUUGAUUCAGCUGCUGAUAAAGAAGAUGUCUCUCGAGAGAGUAGACGAAGUCUUGCACGAAUAAUACGAGUGAUUCCUUCUAACACAAUCAAUUCCAUACAACACAAUUACACUAACAGAAACGAUAACCAAAUUUGUAAAUAAUAUGAAACACAAUCAAUUACAUUAGGUUAUGAUAUUCAAAUCCAUUACAUAAUGUUUACUUAUAUGAAUUUGAUUAGUAAUUUUGUAGAGCAACAAAAAGGUUAUAAUUCCGUCCAAAAGAUGACAAACAUUUGAUGCUAGCGUAGUAGCAUUAACAAACAAGAAGAAGAUAGCCGUCGAAAGUAUCAGAACAGCUAAACUGAUAUAAUUGAGGGAUUAGACCUCAUUGUAUAGCUUUUGAACAGAAACAUGUCUUAAAUAAGUAACAUAAUCAAUUAAAAAGUAUAUCAAAUACAACGAAAUCUGUAUGGAAACAAACAAUACAAAAUAUAACAGGAUACAAUUAUACAAGUAUAAGUGUAUAGUCUUUACCCAAAAAAAAACAAGAACUAUGACUAUGAGACCAACCAUACGACAUGGUUUUUACUAAGGAAACAAUGAUGUAGACAGACAUAAGUGCAUCUCUGCAAAUAGACAAAUGGUAUAACGGUAAAACGGUACUUUAAGAUUGUGGGAUGGGCUUCAAAGUAGCUGGGCCUUCUCUUCGCUUAAGGAGUUCCGGGAACUUUUGGGAAUUCCGGCAACUUGGGAAGUUGAGGCAUCGUCGGUAGCUCUGGCUUUGGAAUCUCUGGAACUGCAGGUUUUGUAAUUUCUGGAACCUUGGGCAGUUCAGGUUUUGGAACUUCUGGAAUCUUCGGCAGUUCAGGCUUUGGAAUCUCUGGAAACUUAGGAGCCUCAGACUUUGGAACCUCUGGAACCGUUGGCAAUUCGGGCUUUGGAACCUCUGGCACCUUCGGCAACUCAGGCUUCUGAAUCUCCGGCAUCUUGGGCAACUCGGGUUUCUGAAUCUCCGGCAUCUUAGGUAACUCCGGCAUUUUGGGCAACUCCGGCUUCUGGAUCUCCGGUACCUUAGGAGCCUCAAGCUUGGGAACUUCUGGCAACUUUGGCAACUCAGGUUUCUGAAUCUCCGGCAUCUUAGGUAACUCCGGCAUUUUGGGCAACUCCGGCUUCUGGAUCUCUGGUACCUUAGGAGCCUCAAGCUUGGGAACUUCUGGCAACUUUGGCAACUCAGGCUUUGGAAUCUCUGGCACCUUAGGAGCCUCAGGCUUUUCAGUCUCCAUUAGCUUAGGCACCUCAGGCUUUGAAUUCUCUGGAAACUUUGGCAAAUCAGGCUUUGGAAUCUCUGGAAACUUUGGUAAUUCAGGCUUUGGAAUCUCCGGCAUUUUUGGUAACUCGGGCUUCUGAAUCUCCGGUACCUUUGGUAACUCAGGUUUUGGAAUCUCUGGCAUCUUUGGGAGCUCAGGUUUUGGAAUUUCCGGAAACUUGGGCAAUUCAAGCUUGGGAAUAUCUGGCAGUUUAGUUUCCUCAGGCUUUGGAAUCUCCGGUACCUUUGGUAACUCUGGCUUUGGAAUCUCCGGGAUCUUUGGCAACUCAGGCUUUGGAAAUUCGGGUAACUUGGGCAACUCUGGUUUAGGGAACUCCGGCAACUUGGGAACUUCGAAUUUAGGUAGCUCAGGCAAUUUUGGUAUCUCCGGUUUAGGAUCCUCCAAUAACCGGCGAGCACCGACUGAAA